CAAUCUCGAGACUGAUUAAUAGUGGGCUUAUUUGUGUGGGUUUAAUUUAUUUUCCCAUGGCCCCAAAUUUCUCACAUUUAGCAAAAACCUAAUCUUCCUCCCAACUGAUUAAUCGUCUCCGGCCUUUCCUCUCCGUCGUUGUCGUUUCACUUCUGAGUCAUUUAACAUUUUCUUUACUCUCUCUUCUUUUAUGGUUUCGUUCCAACUCCCUACGUUUCUCCUCCUAUAUAAAGUCUUUUGUAUCAACCAAAAACCUACAGCCUCACGGAAAAAGACAAAACUACUGCUGCUAAAUCCACCAGACACUCUCCCGUCUACAGCUGUGCAGCCGAGGAGGUUUCAAGCAGUGGUUCCAUGGUCGGUGCUUUAGUGGCUACCUCCGACUGGUUUACUGAUGGCAGCCAGGGUUUGCAAACAAUGACAGAGACAGAGGAAGAUGUGGAAACCUGCGGAGGAGUAGGGUUCCGAACGGAGCUCAAAGUAUUCAUAUCAGCUUCCUAAGGUAUGGAUUUUAAAGUCUGUAAUAAAUUUGAAACUUCUUGCUACGGUUCAAGGUGUUGUUGUCUACCUUAUGCAGCAGGACAACGUCAAACGUUUUCCUUCCUUUGACCAUUCUAAUUAUAGCAUAUCUUCAGGUCGAUUAAGGACUAGAUUCACUAUAUCAUUGUUUGAGAAUGAGAUCAUUAACCUAAACUUUCAGGUUUAUAAUAUGUUCAAGCUCUGAUUACUUGCAGCUCUUCUAAUUCAUUGUUUAUUCUGCUUAAAUGCAUAUGCAACAACCGGAAUCAUGUGUAUAUGUUAUGUUUUGCAUGUAUUAGCUUUCGAAAAAGACUUUGCAAGUAGAGAUGUUGAAGCUUUUGCAUCUGUUGAUAAAUUCAUCGAAACCAGUGGUGGAGAUUCUGCUGAUAACAUCAGUUGGAUUUUAUAUGGCUUUUGAUGGAGUCAAUCUUCUUGGUCAUGAUACUUAAGAAAUAUUUGAACAGCGUUGAUUGUCUUCUAUGUGUUUAGUCCUUCGCUAUUGGAAACCGUUUAGCUGGUAGCGUAACAUAUGAAAGCUUGGUGAACAUCUGGGUUGUAUUCUCAUCACUAAGCCUUCUUCGCCUAGAUCUUCGUGGUCUCAUUGUUGGUUGAUGUGCGGCUGGGAAUCUGGGAAUAUACCAUCAAUCAUAAUCCCAACUGUUUAUAAAGACAAAGGAGAGGUCUAUUUGAAGAUCCUGAGAAUUGCCACAAAUAUGGAAUGGGUUAUGUUGCACUCUCCAUGGCCGUUUGAUCUGAUUCCAUGAGGAGGAGAAGGAAUAGAACUUUCUUAUACUCUAGGAGAAUCACGGUUUUCAGAUCACAGACCGGUUUGUGCAAAUAUUUGCAGGAGAAGUUGUUGUGAAGAGUCUGAGAAACAUAGAUAAUGUUAUUCAUGUGCGGCUGCAAGAUUGGUUGAGGAUUGCACUCCAAACUCAUAGUUUUAACUAAGAUUAUUAUAGUUCUUUUUGAGAACAAAAUAUAUGAUUUUUAAUAGUAAUUUUUCCUCAUUGUGUGUAUGGUUAAUUUUUGGCAUCAGCCGUCAUGAUACAUAUAUGUACUUCAAUGUUAUCAGAUGAGAUCUGUUUGCAUAUGAAGUUAUUGACACUCAACUUUCCAUUAAAUCCAACUAUGACACCUGCAAAGUCCCAUUGAUUUUUCGUGAGAAGAAGAAGAUUAUGACGAUGAGGUCUCUACACUUGAUCAAUAACUAUUCACCCUUGCAGUAACGAGUAAUUACUGUAUUAUGAGUGUGUAACAUGUUAGGAGGUGGACAAAGUCAAUAGAAGAAUGGUUUUACUGUCAGAGUAAAGGAGUGGAAAAGAAAUAAUUGAAAAGAGAAAAUAAAAAUGAAACUGGAAGUAAAGAUUUAUUUUUAAUAUAGAAAAUAUUAAUCUACAAUUAUUCUUUUGGAAGUAAAUAAGCCGAAAAUCAUUUUCAGUUGAUUGGUUGAAAAUAGAGUAAUUUAACAAAACAAUGUUUAUACUAAUUUAUUUACUUUAUGCAUACUAGAAAAACAUUCAAUAUUUUGUUUCUCAAUGCAAAUUCUUCGAAUUAUAAAUAAAUAAAUAAAUAUUUUCACGUAAACCAAACUAGAAUAUUUCAGAAACUAUACUAGCUAAGUGAUACAUUAAAAAUCUAAGAUAUGUGUGAAAAUAAUUUAUAGAAUCAGUUUUACAAUUAUUAAUUUUUAAAUACUGAUUUUUUAAGUUUAUAAACACUUUAAGUUAGCAUUAACCAAAUGUUGAUGUUAACUUUUAAAAGUUGUUCUACAACAGCCAUAAGUCCUGAAGACAUCAUAGUAAGUGUAUCAACUCAUAUAGAUUCUAAAAAUCAUAAAUAUUUUAUAAUCCUGUAAAUUUAAGUUAAAUUGUAAGUAAAAACUGCAAGCUUAGUGAUUUAAAGUAAAAAAUAUAUAAAUCAAUUGAGAUUAAAAAUAUAUUUUUAUAAUAACCUAAAUAUGUAAGAAAAAAUAUUUUGGAUAAUAACUAAGGUUUAACAAAUUCUUUAUUCAUUUCACAUUUGACCAUCAUCUCAUACAUAUUUUAGAUAGUAAAAAUAAUAUAUUGUGAGUCUUACUCAUAUCAAAUUUAAUUUACUAUUUAUAUUCUUAUAACAUAGAUGUAGUGUGUCAUAUAUAUAUUAAAUACAAUGUUAGUUAAAUAAUUCCGGGCGUAGCCCGGAUAAAAUCUCUAGUUGCUAUAAGUAGUCUUAUUAAAGAUCUUUUAAUAUAUGCUCAAACCUUAACUUAUUUUAAUAAUUUUGUUGCUAGACUAUUUACAACUUAAUACCAUGGAGGGAUCUACUCAUGCAGUUUCUAAUAAAGUUGUGUGUACCAUAUCAUGAUAGAUGUAUAUAUUCAUACAUUGAAAUAAAUAAAGGAACGGGUAUAUUGGCGGUAACACUAAAUAACGACAAAUGUAAUUUAGCAGGAGACAUUAUGUGGAUUCUAAGCUAUAAGGCAUGUAAUGUUGCAAUAUAAAACAACUGUUCUACUCUUGAGAGUGUUGUGAACUUGAAAAAAAAAAGAUAUGAGUCGAAGAUAGUCAUAUAGCAUGGGUUCUCCAACUUUUAGUAUCCUAAAUUUAAACAGGUUAUGAACCCUACGUUAUUUUUGUCAUGUGAUGUGUCUCCUAUCUGUUGUUUUCUUACAGUCUCAUAUGCAUAUUAAAUAGUUAGCUAUGGAGGAGUGAUGAGGCAUUUUGAAGGACCAAUUUAAAUUGAAAUAUUCAGGACACUUCAACUAAUUAUUGCUGAUUAAUCCAACAGUUAAAUUAGUGAUCUUUAAUGUAAUAUAUUUUUUU